rnacentral:rRNA from 1 species
UACGGAGGGUGCGAGCGUUGUCCGGAAUCACUGGGCGUAAAGGGCGCGUAGGCGGCCUAUUAAGUCAGGGGUGAAAGACGGUGGCUCAACCAUCGCAGUGCCCUUGAUACUGAUGGGCUUGAUUACACUUGAGGUAGGCGGAAUGUGACAAGUAGCGGUGAAAUGCGUAGAUAUACGGAGGAACACCAGCGGCGAAGGCGGGUAGCUGGGCCAACACUGACGCUGAUGCGCGAAAGCUAGGGGAGCAAACGGG